CCUACGGGGGGCAGCAGUGGGGAAUAUUGGGCAAUGGGCGCAAGCCUGACCCAGCAACGCCGCGUGAAGGAAGAAGGCUUUCGGGUUGUAAACUUCUUUUCUCAGGGACGAAGCAAGUGACGGUACCUGAGGAAUAAGCCACGGCUAACUACGUGCCAGCAGCCGCGGUAAUACGUAGGUGGCAAGCGUUAUCCGGAUUUACUGGGUGUAAAGGGCGUGUAGGCGGGGACGCAAGUCAGAUGUGAAAACCACGGGCUCAACCUGUGGCCUGCAUUUGAAACUGUGUUUCUUGAGUACUGGAGAGGCAGACGGAAUUCCUAGUGUAGCGGUGAAAUGCGUAGAUAUUAGGAGGAACACCAGUGGCGAAGGCGGAUUGCUGGACAGUAACUGACGCUGAGGCGCGAAAGCGUGGGGAGCAAACAGGAUUAGAUACCCCAGUAGUC
rnacentral:rRNA from 1 species